AUUGAACGCUGGCGGCAUGCCUUACACAUGCAAGUCGAACGGCAGCACGGGUGCUUGCACCUGGUGGCGAGUGGCGAACGGGUGAGUAAUACAUCGGAACAUGUCCUGUAGUGGGGGAUAGCCCGGCGAGAGCCGGAUUAAUACCGCAUACGAUCCACGGAUGAAAGCGGGGGACCUUCGGGCCUCGCGCUAUAGGGUUGGCCGAUGGCUGAUUAGCUAGUUGGUGGGGUAAAGGCCUACCAAGGCGACGAUCAGUAGCUGGUCUGAGAGGACGACCAGCCACACUGGGACUGAGACACGGCCCAGACUCCUACGGGAGGCAGCAGUGGGGAAUUUUGGACAAUGGGCGAAAGCCUGAUCCAGCAAUGCCGCGUGUGUGAAGAAGGCCUUCGGGUUGUAAAGCACUUUUGUCCGGAAAGAAAUCCUUGACUCUAAUACAGUCGGGGGAUGACGGUACCGGAAGAAUAAGCACCGGCUAACUACGUG
rnacentral:rRNA from 1 species